GACGAAGGGGGCUAGCGUUGUUCGGAAUUACUGGGCGUAAAGCGAGUGUAGGUGGUUGUCAUAGUCAGGUGUGAAAGCCUUGAGCUCAACUCAAGAAAUGCACUUGAUACUGGGCGACUAGAGGACCGGAGAGGAUAGUGGAAUUCCCAGUGUAGUGGUGAAAUACGUAGAGAUUGGGAAGAACACCAGUGGCGAAGGCGGCUAUCUGGACGGUUUCUGACACUAAGACUCGAAAGCGUGGGGAGCAAAC
rnacentral:rRNA from 1 species